GAUGAACGCUGGCGGCGUGCCUAAUACAUGCAAGUCGAGCGAACGGACGAGAAGCUUGCUUCUCUGAUGUUAGCGGCGGACGGGUGAGUAACACGUGGAUAACCUACCUAUAAGACUGGGAUAACUUCGGGAAACCGGAGCUAAUACCGGAUAAUAUUUUGAACCGCAUGGUUCAAAAGUGAAAGACGGUCUUGCUGUCGCUUAUAGAUGGAUCCGCGCUGCAUUAGCUAGUUGGUAAGGUAACGGCUUACCAAGGCAACGAUGCAUAGCCGACCUGAGAGGGUGAUCGGCCACACUGGAACUGAGACACGGUCCAGACUCCUACGGGAGGCAGCAGUAGGGAAUCUUCCGCAAUGGGCGAAAGCCUGACGGAGCAACGCCGCGUGAGUGAUGAAGGUCUUCGGAUCGUAAAACUCUGUUAUUAGGGAAGAACAUAUGUGUAAGUAACUGUGCACAUCUUGACGGUACCGAAUCAGAAAGCCACGGCUAACUACGUG
rnacentral:rRNA from 1 species